AAUACACUACUGUUUAAUUGAUACAUCAAUGGUCUUUUUUGAAAACAUACACUCAUCAAUCUUCUCCUUAAACGUGAAAAUCCAGAAUCAUGAUAAAUAACAACUUCCAAUAUAUCGUUUAAGUCCAACCACACAGCUCCCCAUGUUGCUAUUCAAAAACCACUUCUCCUCAUUCUUUGAAUCUAACGCUAUAAAUUUUCUCUCUGUCUUCAAUCAACACAACCCUCCACCUUCACAUCUACCUCAACAAUCCUCUGUAGUCUCCUUCCCUUUCUUCUUCGUGUUACCUCUAUCUGUUGCAACGUUCCUCUAAAUUCGUUGUUUGUUGAAGAUAACUGGAGUGUGAAGGGAAUCAGCAAAAAAUUUGUUUUUCUGUUAUUUUGCUCUUUCCGGGUUUGGUUUAGGAUUUUUAGGUUAUUUAUUUAUUUAAUUUUUGUUGAAAGGAAAAAGAAGCAUCGCUUAAAAUGAUUCAAGAUUUGACUAAACACCCAACCUUCAAUCAAUCAAGAAUGCAGAAGAUUCAGCUUGCACAAUUUGCAUUAAAUAGAAGCAGAAGAAGUCGGAAUAAGCAUAUGCACUAUUCGGCCAGGGUAUGUAGGUACGAUUGAUGUGAGGAGCUGAUGUGAGGAGCUUCAAUGGUACUCUGAAUUUCGAAUAGGUUGGCUAGGUUGAGGAAUAGUGAAAAGUACUGUUUGAUGAUGCUGUGAGUAAUUUGUGUUGUUAAUCGAAGUUAAUUAAUGAUUAUUUUAAUUUAUUAAAGUUUAUUUUAUUUAACAAUUUGUGCUAAUUUAUUUGUUUGUUUUGUUGCAAGGAUCAAUUAGUUGUUAUUGCUCAUGCAGCAGAGAAGAACAAGAAUCAAUUAGCUGUUUAUUUUAUUUUGUUAGUUUUUGAAAAUUUUGAAGGUAUUUUUUUGAAAAGGUGUAUAUGUUAAUCUGUUUUGUUGGAGUUUUGUUGAAAUUUGAACGAUGUUGGUUGUAGAUAUUAUUACUUGAGGUUGUCAAUGAAAAGCUGGGAAACAUGUUGAAUAUGAAGUUAUUGUCAAGGAUAAUGAAUUGGUUGCAACUGAAUACAUUGAUGAUACAUACAAGUUAUUCAAACUUAGUGUUGUACCUCUUUUUGUUUUGUGUUUUUUCUCUUGUGUGUUGAUUUCAGUUCAAAUUGUUUUGAGCUUCAACACUGAUUAUCAUCUCUCACUGCAGAGAAGAAUUAAACAUAAAUUUACGUGAAGCGGAUUCAUAAUAAAAUAAUUGUGUGGUAAAUUUUCUCGAUUUUGUCCUGGUGAUGGCAUAGAAGUUGGGAAACUCAUACGACCACUUCAAUGAAAGAUCUUUCAGAACAAGCAACAUUAAAUUGUCUACAAGAAUUAUUAGCAGCUUCAUUAGUUUUUGCAGUGAAAGAUAUUUUAGAGCAAGCAACAUUAAAUUGUCUAUAGGAAUUAUUAGCAGCUUCAUUCUAUGAAUCGGAUGUGACAAUUAGAGUUUCAUAUGCAUAUUGGAACUGCAAGAUGUGUGUUGUGUUAAAACUUGGAUUCUAUAUUGGAACUGCAAGAACUUGGAUUCUAUAUUGGAACUGCAAGAAAAUUGUUAUAUCAAUGGGAAUGUUUUAAAGUAUAUUGAAAUGUAUUGAAAAUAAAAAUGAAUUAAACAAAAUAAUUUGGAAUGUUUACAAUUUUUU